rnacentral:tRNA from 1 species
UCCCUGCUGGCUCAGAUGGUAAAGCGUCUGCCUGCAAUGAGGGAGACCCAGGUUCAAUUCCUGUGUUGGGAA